GAAUUGCGAUAACUAAUGUGAAUUGCAGAAUUCAGUGAAUCAUCGAGUCUUUGAACGCACCUUGCGCCUUUUGGCAUUCCGAAAGGCAUGCCUGUUUGAGUGUCAGUAAAUUCUCAACCUAUCAUUGCUUUUUGAGUGGUGAAUAGGAUUGGAUGUGGAAGUCUGCUGGAUUUAUGUUCAGCUCUUCUAAAAUGCAUUAGCAGUAACCGUACUUUGGCAUGCUUCAAGCUGUGAUAAUAUCUUAGUUUGAACUGUUGAGUGACAAAGACUGGUAUGAAGAGUUACUUAAAUGUUCUCUUUGGCUUCUCCAUUAUUGGGGAUACUUGUCCAGCUUUGUGAUUGCUGCUUAUAAUCGUCUGAAUAGACAAUUACUUGAAAUUUGACCUCAAAUCAGGUAGGACUACCCGCUGAACUUAA
rnacentral:misc_RNA from 1 species